rnacentral:rRNA from 1 species
GAUUAACGCUAGCGGCAGGCCUAAUACAUGCAAGUUGAACGGGAUUUCGGGUAGCAAUAUCUGAAUGAGAGUGGCGCACGGGUGCGUAACACGUAUGCAAUCUACCUCUGACUGGGGAAUAGCUCCCUGAAAAGGGAAUUAACACCGCAUAACAUAAUGAAGUGGCAUCACUUUAUUAUCAAAACUCCGGGGGUCAGAGAUGAGCAUGCGUCCGAUUAGCUAGUUGGUGAGGUAAUGGCUCACCAAGGCAACGAUCGGUAGGGGGUCUGAGAGGAUGAUCCCCCACACUGGUACUGAGACACGGACCAGACUCCUACGGGAGGCAGCAGUAAGGAAUAUUGGACAAUGGUCGCAAGACUGAUCCAGCCAUGCCGCGUGAAGGAUGAAGGCCCUAUGGGUUGUAAACUUCUUUUAAAUGGGAAAAAACCCCUCUACGUGUAGAGGGCUGAUGGUACCGUAAGAAUAAGGAUCGGCUAACUUCGUGCCAGCAGCCGCGGUAAUAC